AGCCAGAGGUCGUGAAGCUGAAGAAGGUCCCCGUGAAACCCCCAGAGCCCGAAAAACACAUCGUUACUCAACAAGCAGAAAUAACAAAACAUCAGGAUGAAGAACUUUGGGUUCAUAAACUCCAUGAUAGAGAAGACCGAGAGAUAAUAACACUUGCGAGAACUGAGCGAGUCUUCACUGCCACAGAGGAGACAUUUCAAUUAGGACAUGCAGAGGAAGCUCAGAGAGUUUUAGUGGAAAGCAAUGCUGAAGCUUGGACAAGAACAACAGAACCAAAGGAAGAAAAGGAACCUGAGUCUCUGAGUGUAACCAAGAAGAAAAUAACUAAACUCCCAAAACCAGAAGAGCAGAGAGAGUCUAUCCAACUGAAACCUUUUGAAAAACAUCAAGAAAAAGAACGAGAGUCUGCUGAACUGACACCAGUGUCCAGUAAACUCAAAGAGCCUCGGACGGAAACCCGAGCUAAAAAAACUGAAGUUUCACAAUAUCACCAACAAGAAUUAUCAGUCUCUGGACUUCACCACAGAGAAGAAGGAGAAACCACAGAGAAGGAGAGCAUUCAGUCUGUGGAGGCUAAAGAAGCUGCAGUGGACAGAAAAUAUCAGGCAGAAGAACCAGAACCUCAGAAAGAAGAAGAACCCCAACCACCAAGUACAGACAAGAAAAAAGUGACCAAACUGCCAAAACAAGAAGAGCAGAGAGAGUCUGUUAAACUAAAACCCUUUGAGAGACCAAAAAAGCCAGAAGAGGAACUUGAGAAGAUCACACUGAAAAAGGUGCCAACAAAACCCAAAGAGCCGGAGAAAGAAGUCGUAACUCACAAAGUGGAAGUCACCAAACAUCAAGAUGAAGAACUUUGGGUUCAUGGACUCCACGACAGAGAAGACCGAGAGAUAAUAACACUCGGAAGAACCGAGCGAGUGUUCACCGCCGAGGAGGAGACGAUCCAGUUAGGAUAUUUUGAAGAGGUAGAAAGAAUUGCAGUGGAAAGCAAAGCAGAAAAAGAAACUAGGACAGUAACUAGAAAACCUCAGAAAGAAGAACCGGAACCACCAAGUGUAGACAAAAAGAAAGGAGCAAAAGCACCUCCACCAGGUCCACCAGGGGACCAGAAAGAGUCAGUCAAACUGAAAACACCUCAGAAACCUAAACAAACUGAAACAGAACCAGAGAAGAUCAAACUGAAAAAGGUGCCAACGAAACCUAAAGAGCCAGAGAAAGAACUUGAAACUCAUAAAGUGGAGGUGACGAGGCAUUACGACACAGAAGUAACAGUGCAAAAGCUUCGAUAUCGAGAAGACCGGGAGAUAAUAACUCUGGGAAGGACUGAACAAGUCUUCACUGCAACUGAGGAAACAUCUGAGCUUGGGAUUAUGGAGGAACCCCAAAGGCUGGAGACAGCGGAUGAGAAAUCAAGAUGGGAAAGAACCCCAAAAGCACCGAAAGACCAAGAAAGUGAGCCAGAUUUAGCAAAGAAAAAAAUUAAGAUACUGCCAAAGGACCAUGAGGAGCCAGAGGUGGUGACAUUGAAACCAUUUCAAAAACCUCUGGAACAAAAAGCCCCUGAAC
ensembl:lncRNA